AUUUCAGUCUGUAAGCAGAAAUAAAUUGAGAGCAUUAAUAAAAUAACCAACUAAACAGAAUUAUUAAAGCGAGCCAGAACAAAUCGGUUUCAAGUUCAAAUAUUUUUUUGCGAACACUUUUCGGUGAUAAAAAAAACACAACAGAGGCGAAAUGAGUCACUUAUGCUUCCUUGUAAUAGGUUUUUGUUUCGCAUUAAUCGCCUUCUGUUGUGGACAAGGUACCACAGAAAGUCCUUAUAACCGAAAUUGUCACAGAGACAUAUAUUGCUUAUUGCCCGAUUCAAAUUAAACAAAUCGUACAGCCCUCAUCCAAACGGACAGCGGAAACCAGCAUGGAGGCGUUGCACUCCUUAACGCAACUCAUCUUUAGCAUUCUGGAUGGUUUUAACAUGGGUUAGUUUUAGCAUACGUACUAAAGUAAUCGUAAUUGAUGGAACUAAUAAACCUUAUGAGUUUUCCAAUGCCUAAUCUAAUGUUCUUAGUUGUAAAUACUUUUUGUUGUUUUUCUUUUCUUAGUUAGUAUGCACUAAUUGGAUGUAUUAAAAUAAAUGCAUUAAAAUAAA